GAUGAACGCUAGCGACAGGCUUAACACAUGCAAGUCGAGGGGCAGCAGGGGAGUAGCAAUACUCCCGCUGGCGACCGGCGCACGGGUGAGUAACACGUAUGCAACCUGCCCUUGUCAGGGGGAUAAGCGGAAGAAAUUCCGUCUAAUACCGCAUAAUGCUGCGGGGAGACAUCUCCCUGCAGCCAAAGAUUUAUCGGACAAGGAUGGGCAUGCGGCGCACUAGCUUGUUGGCGGGGUAACGGCCCACCAAGGCGACGAUGCGUAGGGGUUCUGAGAGGAAGGUCCCCCACACUGGUACUGAGACACGGACCAGACUCCUACGGGAGGCAGCAGUGAGGAAUAUUGGUCAAUGGCCGGGAGGCUGGACCGGCCAAGUCGCGUGAGGGAAGACGGUCCUAUGGAUUGUAAACCUCUUUUGUCAGGGAGCAAAAACUGCCACGUGUGGCAGGAUGAGAGUACCUGAAGAAAAAGCAUCGGCUAACUCCGUGCCAGCAGCCGCGGUAAUACGGAGGAUGCGAGCGUUAUCCGGAUUUAUUGGGUUUAAAGGGUGCGUAGGCGGACAGUUAAGUCAGCGGUAAAAUUGAGAGGCUCAACCUCUUCCCGCCGUUGAAACUGAUUGUCUUGAGUGGGCGAGAAGUAUGCGGAAUGCGUGGUGUAGCGGUGAAAUGCAUAGAUAUCACGCAGAACUCCGAUUGCGAAGGCAGCAUACCGGCGCCCAACUGACGCUGAAGCACGAAAGCGUGGGUAUCGAACAGGAUUAGAUACCCUGGUAGUCCACGCAGUAAACGAUGAAUACUAAUUGUUCGGGUCAAAUGAGAUCUGAGUGAUACAGCGAAAGCGUUAAGUAUUCCACCUGGGGAGUACGCCGGCAACGGUGAAACUCAAAGGAAUUGACGGGGGCCCGCACAAGCGGAGGAACAUGUGGUUUAAUUCGAUGAUACGCGAGGAACCUUACCCGGGCUCAAACGACACAGGAAUGAUCUGAGAAAUCAGGCAGUCCUCCGGGACCUGUGUCGAGGUGCUGCAUGGUUGUCGUCAGCUCGUGCCGUGAGGUGUCGGCUUAAGUGCCAUAACGAGCGCAACCCCCAUCGACAGUUGCCAGCAGGUCAAGCUGGGCACUCUGUCGAGACUGCCGGCGCAAGCUGUGAGGAAGGCGGGGAUGACGUCAAAUCAGCACGGCCCUUACGUCCGGGGCGACACACGUGUUACAAUGGCAGGUACAGCGGGAAGCCACCUGGCGACAGGGAGCGGAACCCGAAAGCCUGUCUCAGUUCGGAUUGGAGUCUGCAACUCGACUCCAUGAAGCUGGAUUCGCUAGUAAUCGCGCAUCAGCCACGGCGCGGUGAAUACGUUCCCGGGCCU
rnacentral:rRNA from 1 species